rnacentral:rRNA from 1 species
GACUAACGCUGGCGGCGUGCCUAACACAUGCAAGUCGAACGAGUUGAUUUAUAGUAGCAAUAUUGUAGAUCGGCAAGUGGCGAACGGGUGAGUAACACGUAGAUAAUCUGCCUUUUAGACGGGGACAACUCAGGGAAACUUGUGCUAAUACCCGAUGAGACUACGGAGGGGGACCUCUGCAGCCAAAAGUGGGCGUAAGCUCACGCUGAAAGAUGAGUCUGCGUCCUAUCAGCUAGUUGGUGGGGUAAAAGCCUACCAAGGCGAAGACGGGUAGCCGGCCUGAGAGGGUGAACGGCCACACUGGGACUGAGACACGGCCCAGACUCCUACGGGAGGCAGCAGUGAGGAAUUUUCCGCAAUGGGCGCAAGCCUGACGGAGCGACGCCGCGUGAGGGAUGACGGCCUUCGGGUUGUAAACCUCUUUUAUU